rnacentral:lncRNA from 1 species
CGGAGAGGAUUCAUAGAAGUUGGAAGGAUCCGGUAAGAUUUUGAGUCGAAUCGAUACUUAAAUUUGUGAUUGAGUUCAAAUUUAUUUUUAUAGACCAUAGAGAACAUAGAUUGGUUCAUGUCAAAUUUUGGGAAUUUUUCGGAUCCGUUUGAUAAUUUUUAUUUAUUAAUUGCAAGUAUAUGAAUUUAAUAAAUAUAAAUUUAAUAUGAGCUAUAAAUCCAUGAAAUAAUGGAAUAGUAUUACUUAAAAAAUGAAAUACGCAAUGUUUAGUGAAUUUGACUAGGUUUUUGCAAACUUUACAUACUUUUAAUUACUAAAACUACUUUGGA